ensembl:lncRNA
GGGGAGAGUGACAAAUGUAACAUGUUCCUGUUCCUUUAGUUUAGUUUAAUUUACUUCUUUUGCUUCUGAAGCUUAUUUACGAAAACAAAAGUAAGGUAACUGUAUUCACAUGAGUAACUCAGCUGCUUUACUAUCUUUAAUAGUCUGAGAACUCCUGAAAACUCUUCUCAGAAGGGUUUGAUCAUGGGAACACCAUGAAAAUACAAAUUCAGACUUGCUAAAACAAUCUGUGAAGAAGUGACUUUAAUUUUGCUGUUGUUUUUGCUGUUGUUGUUGUUGUUGUUUUCCUGUUAAGAUUACAGCUAGGAAGUUACUGAACUGCUCUUGUCACUCUAAAAGGGAUAGAGUUAUGUGAUGCACCCAUCUGGAAAAGAAAGAUGAUUAACUGAACUGCAAAGAAAAGAAAGAUGAUUAACUGAACUGCAAAAAGUGGAUCAGAUCUGGAACUAGAAGCUGAAAACAUCCAGUUUUCAUUUUAAUUUUAGUAUAUAUAGUAUGGUCCAAAUUCUUGUAACUGUGCUGUUCUCAGUGAAUUUUUGAUGGAAUACAUUGAUGGAAUUCAGGAUUAAUUGCACUCUAAGCAAAAUAAUGAAGAAUUAGCUCAAGAAAAAUGUGAAAGCUACUUUGUAAGUAAUGCCUCCUAUUUUAUUAUGCUGCGUCAUGAUGUCAGAAGUGAAUGUUGAUUUUAUGGCAGUAGAAGAUAGAACCUUCCUGUCAAUAUCCCAUUACACUUUGUUUCCAUACAACAGAUGGCAGCAGAGGGGCAGUCUGACAAAAUGGAGUCUGACAUGGAAAUGCGUAUGAAGCAAAUGUGUGAAACUGAAUUUCUUCCAUGUGGAAAAAAAUGGCACUCACUGACAUUCAUCAAAACUUGCUGAAUACUGUCUCGCUCCAAUUUAUAGGAGGGAGAGGAGGUUCUUUGAAAUAUGCAGCAGACAUGAGCACAGUGAAGGGGUGGGUGGUGCAUUUCAGCAGUGGUGGUAGCAAAAGUGGCCACUUCCAAUGGUGCAGAUUUUCAUGAGCACUACAUGCAGGCUCUCAUUCAUUGCUAGCAAAAACACACAGCUAAUGCUUGUGACUGUGUUAAAAAACAGUGUUUUGUAGUGUAGAAUUUUCCCUAUGAAAUAGUGUUAUUGUAUUCUUUGUGCUUGCUGUAAUUUCCAUGGAAAUAAAUAAACCACGUUACUUUCCGAACAACCUAUAUACUUCUCUUUAUAAUGGUUGGUGAUCUGUUUUUCUGCUGUGUUGAGGCUAGUAGAAACAGACAGAUUAUAUGUUCAUUGCCUGGAGGAUGAGCAAUUCUCUCAUGUCAUUCAACUGUGACCUUUCUGGUUGAAGGAUAAUAGAAGAUCUCCAAAACUUUUCAAAUAAAAAAUGGCUGGAAAAUCUUCGGAACUUAUAAUAUGUUACCAUUCUUGUUUUCUCUUUUAUUCUUCUACAUGGCUUAUACUGCAAGAGGCAUUAUGUUAUUAACACUAAAGUUGUUUUCUUAGCAUAAAAAAAAAAAAGGGGGGGGGGGGGAGGAAUGAAUUUCUAAAAGAAUUGUGAUGUAAUUAAGAUUAGGCUGACUUUUCACCUAUGGCAACUCACUAUUGUUGAUGUUUGCAUGCUCUGCAUGGAAUAACGACAACAACACACAUUAAAGAAUCAACAUUUAAGAAGCCAUGCCUUUUAAGAAGCUAUGCCAUCAAAAGCCAUGUCAUUUAGUUUUCUGUAUCUGAAAUAAGGAAGGUAUAAGAUAAACUCUUAGGUUGAACACUUUGAUAGUGUCAAGUAAUGUAUGAAGGAAUAUUUUUAAAGAAGUCACAGUUCAAGUAAAGAUGGAUCCUUAACAACUUCUAUUGUUUAAAGAUGUACUUUUACUUCUAUGCUUUAGUUCACUAGAUGGAUUUGACAACUAUUUUGUAAAUUUCAGCUUCUCAUUUGCUUAUUUUUUUCUCCCUGUUUAUAUGGACUAUUUCACAAAUAGUUGAAUUAACAUCAUGAUGAAGAAAUACAUUCUGACUCAGGACCAGAGGGAAUUGUUUUGGAUCUUGUAGUAAUUUUUAAUAACAAAAUUCCUAAAUCAAAAUAUUUCUAUGUAUUCCUAAAUCAAAAUGACUUUAUUUUGUUAUUGUAGGAUUAUCCACAUAUAAAUUUAUUAUGAGUGAGCAUCAUUCAAUUAAAAUAACGUAUAAAACCACAAGCCAAUAUAUGCAUGAGGAUAAACAUAAUUUACAUUGCUUUAUUUGGCAUACAUACUACUUUAAAAAGUAAAUAUUAUAUAUAAUUCAUUAUAUUCAAGUAAUGCAUUGAUUUAAAGAACUAUUCAUUACUAUAAAUAAAGCUUAGAAUAAUUAUUCCUUAAUUCAAAAACUAGUAGAUCAUUUUACUAAGUGUUUAUUCAUGACAGUAGAGAGUGUGUUUUUUUCUUUCUAGAAUAUCUAAGACUAGAUUUAUAUAGUCAGGAUAGGCAUUAUAACCAAAUUUGCCUAAAGAUAUAUAAAAUCUGAAAGUUACAGGUGAGUAGAGUGAGAGACACACAUAUGGUUACAUACCCCAUGUUUCUCUUUCAGAUUCAGCCUGUGAAAAGAGUGGUAGAUGACUGAAAUUACAUUGAAAAAGGAAAUUAAUAUGGACAAGAAGUCAGGAAUUAUUAUUGUCUAAAUAAUCCUGUUACUUGAAGAGUUAAAUUUAUAGCAGCAUUUUUUAGGUCAGUGUGAAUACAAAAUCUAGCCCCAGAUACCAAAUAUAUAAGGCUAGCAAAUCUAUGAACAAAUGGAACCUAAAGGGGGCCUAUAAACAGGUGACCAUCUUUUUACAUGAGUAGAUAGUGGUAGGUCAAAGAGGAAUGGUUUUAAAAUGAAAGAAGAGAGAUUUAGAAUAGUUGCUAGGUGGAGAUGUUUUAUUCAGAGGGACAAAAAAUUCCACACAAAUGACAUUGUAGGACAAAAUUAAGAAAAGAGUAACAUGGAAAAAAUGUACAUGUCAGGUGAGUCACCUCAAAACCCCUAAAUUCUUUAAUGCUUCAAUUUUGUAUGGCUGGGGAGAAUGAGUAACAUUAAAUUAACAUUAAUUUUACCAAUUCUUUAUUUUAUAAAAAUAAUAAUUUGCAGUAAAAACUGCCAUUGAGACCUAAUAAUCAGACUUCAUUCACUACUAUACAGAGCUCUUUUCUUUGAAAGGAGUUCAGAUUUUUUCAGUAAUGACCUCUAUUAGCACCCAUAUAGACAGGAAGAGCAAGCAAGUGCUCAUAUCCUAGCCAACACCUUUUUGAAAGAGAUUGAAUAGAGUGCUUUAAAUUCAAAUGGUAUGUUUCCAAAUAUGUAUGAAAGAAAAUCAACCUGUCCAAAAAAUGAAUGAAAAUAAUGUGCAGGAGUAUGACAGAACGUUGAAACUUUUCCUGAUGUCCUGUUCACGGUAUUUUCAUGUCACUUGUGUAAAUUAUCAGAAAUUUACGCAUCAGUUUGGAACCUUACUUUAUCUCAUCUUUUUCAACAGGUUCUUUCAGUACAACCUCCUAUAUAUAAGCUACAUGAAUAAUCAGAGAUUCUGCUGUCUAAUUACCACAUAUGAUCUUGGGGAUCCUUUCAACAGUUCAAAUGCUCUCACUUCUAGAAAGCUGUAAUGCUUGAAUAUGAAAGAUUCCCAUAUCAUUGUCAUGGUCACAAAGUUAAAGUCUAGGUUGAAGGCUCUGGAAAAUGACUGUGGAAUAAUCCUUGACAGUUAAAACCUUCAUAUGCAUUUUUGGUAUAACUUAGUAUUAUCUUAGCCCAAAACAGGAUAGCAGAUAAAAACUUCUGGUCAGAUCAGAGCACUGAUUCCCUUGUAUUUGUAGUCAAGACUGUGUUUCAAACUCAAGCAAAAAUGUAGGGUGAAUCCUAACAAAGACCAACUUAACAAAAUUUUGGGUUUAUUUGUUUAUUUUUUGUAAGUAAGAAUAAAUUUUCCAGAUUCAGUGUAUAGAUUAAACUUUUUGCACAGCCUUUGCUUCUUUUCACAUACCACAAUUUGCUGGAACCAAUACUGCAUGAGAUAAUUCAUUGGAGAUAGAUGAUGCAAAUUCACCAGCUCAGCAUAUCCCUAUUGAAGACGUUGCACUAUUAGAUGUACACAAUAUGUUUAUUCUUCUUUCUCAGCAAUUAGCCUUUCUGAUACAGUCAGUGUUUCAUCUCAGCAUGAAAUAACAUUAGAUAACAUUGCAUUCUGAGGAAGUUGAAAAAACAGGGCUCCGCAAGUGAGAAUGAAUUAGAAAUGCUCUUGCAGUAGAGGCCCUAGAGUUACAAACAAGAAGCUGAUGAAUGUAUUUAGCAAGGGACUUUAAGUAAAAUCUCUCUUCUGCUGAAAAUUUCUUAUUCUUUAGAAUAUUCUGCUUCUGAAAGGCAUUUUUUGACAAGUGCCAAAAAUAAUUUCUAUACAUUGUUAGUACUUUCCCAAUCAGUCUUUUUUUGUUGUUGUCCUUGUUUGUUGUUUUAUUUUUAACAAAAUGCAUGUGGCCAGAGGACAUGUUAUUACUAUUGAUAUUCUGAAAAUGAGCAUGAUUGUCUGUGCAAUCUAAAUUUCUUUUGCAGAAAUACAUACAAUGGAAAGGUAAAUAAAGUGAUUAAGUCUUAAAGAAAAACAGGCCUGAGGGAUUAUAUUAUUCUUACCUAACUUGGAACACUUAGUAAGGCAAUAUCUCAGCUUGAUUAUAAUCAAUAAGAGUUUAUAUGAUGUGAUUAAUUUAACUUAUUUUGGAUACUUACAGUAGAACAUGAUGGACUGAGUCAUACCUAUAAUCAUAAUACUCUAUUACCUAUAAAAACAGCUUACAGUGACUAGCUAAGUAUCAAAUUAUAUCCCACAUCAGAUGAAUUUAACACAUAAAUUCUGUUAAUACCUGCUACAAAAUUGUAAGCCGUUUUUUCAAUACAAAUUUUUCCAUACAGGUGUGUUUUCUGACUUCAUUUCAUUCAGUCUGUAGACAUAUACAAACCGUAGAAUACUUUUUAAAUUUCUUUUUAAAAUCUUCUUAUUAUUGACAGUGCACUAGGAGGAACUAUAAAUGCAUUAUGUAUAUGUAUACUUCAUAUCUGAGGAUAACCACAGAUCAAUAAACACUGAUACUAGUUCUACAUUACCAAGUCAGAAAUUAUUUUGCACUAUUUUUGUUGAGUAACACUAUAGUGUGUAAUAUGCACGUGUAUACACAUACAUGCAUCUAACAAUGCAUAUAUAUUUUCAUUCGCAGUCUUUAUUUCACAUAAAAGACAAUAUGAAUUCUUCAGCCUUACUCAGACUUACUUGAGGAACCAUAUUGUAUAUUGUCCUAACAAUACCUGUGAAAAUUUUGUCCUAAGAAAUUCCCUUGUUUUUCCUAUAUUAGCAGUACCAGAUCCCCUCUAAAUGUAAUGCAGUUGGGUGUUUCUUUUUUUAUUCCAAUGCCUGUUUAGUUAAUUUUAUUUUACUGUCUUCAGCUUGCAUAGCAUUAGUACAAGAGCGACAUAACUAAAAGUCAUUAAAAUGUUUCUUUACAUUUCAGGAAACACAAUAGUUGAAACCCUUAUCCUAAUGAAUUCUGGCCCUGAAUUCUAUCGAAUCAGGAUUCUGUUAACUAACUUCUUGGUAAUGUAGUUUUUGGAAUAUAUGCUUACAGGAGACAGUCUUCUAUUCAGCAACAUUUCAUCCUUAUCUUUGCUUCCUGAUGCUAACUGAAUUGAAGCAAAAGCAGGAAACUGGGCCUUUUGCUUUUCCAAUAGAUGUAUGUGAUGCAGCAGAUAGUUACAAUCAGAUUGAAGACUACAUUUCAGCUGUCAAAUCUUUCCCAUUAGGACUCAUGAGAAUGAUUUCCGAGAUUGUCGAAGCCCUAAAUUGCUACUGAAUGACCUGAAUAUUCUUAAUUUUUCUACCAGAAUAAAUAAUGUGAUUCUUUUGUACAAAGUGGGAAAGGUUCCACAAUUUUAGUGGCAUUUUGAAAAGAGGUACAUCUGAUUAAAUGAAAAAGGCUAUGUGUUGGAUUUCACUUUGUUUUGCAAUUUCAGAAUAUCUGAAAUAUUUCUGUAUAGUUUGUAAGAGUUUCAUGCUGUUCCUAGGGUGUAGUUCAUUGUCCUAAAGUAUGCUUUUAGCUAUCAGUAUUAAAAUUGCUACAAAACUUUGAAGAGCGCAAUGGAAUAAUUACCUUUGUGAGUAAAGCGCCUAUAAAGGCAAGAUGAAUCAACGAGCUUAAGCUACAUGUUCCAAUAAGAUUUCUUUUUUUUCUUUUCUUCUUUUAUAAUAAAAGCUUGUAAGAAUCCUAGAACCUCUGAUUCAACAACUUUAAGCUUAAGGCAGGCCCAUUCAGAAAGCAAUUAAAGAUGCCAUGGGUAGAGGGCUUUGUGAGGCAUUUUCUGCUUACUCCUUCAUGCAAAAGGCGUCUCCCAGCACUGUUUCCACUAAAUAUUUGACUUUAAACCCUCUUUUAUUAUUUAAAAAAUCCAAAACUUUAAAGCUGUGCAGAUUUGAGAUACUUAAAUAGGAUGUUCUCCUGCAUCCUGAAAAAAAGUCUGUCUGAAGUUAUAGUAGAUCAGGAUUAUCUUGGUGGAAUGACACUUGGUUUUAAACAAUGUAUUUUCUGUAAUUUUGUUAUGACUUUUUUUCACAUACACAGAAUACAACUUAUACAGUACCGAUAUCUAGAAUGCUACUUUGCUUAGUUUAUCUAGAGUUGAUACCUUUUUGUAUUUAACAUACGGCCAUUCUUAUAUUACUGUACCUUUCUGCUCACUGUAUCAUUAGCACAAAAAAAGAAGAAAAGGUCUCUGAAUUCCUUUUAUUUCUAGUUUCCAGAAAGACUCUAAGCAUCUUUAGGAUCUGAAUGAUACCUUUCUGGCUAUGUUCUGUCAUUGCAGCUGUAGACUUGGAAAGUUCUUUAUUUUUUAGUUCUGCUUACUACAAAUUUUGGAAUUUAAGGCCUACAGUUCUUCAGAAGUUUGAGCAUCUUAUUACGAUCAGAUUUGUUAGGAUAUCACAGGCCUUUUCAAAGCUUGGAUUAGGAAUUAGUAUCUGCCUUGGAGACUAUUGUGGUUUGUUUUAAUUCUUAACUAGUCUACAUUUGUCUUCUAAAUGUACUUCUGAAAUUUAAACACUUUGUAUCAUGAAGGCGGCUAUGGUUGCAUGAUUUUUGAUAACACAUCUCUGUUAAAUAUUUAAAUGGUUAUUUCAUACAUAGAGUUUUGAAACCCCAGUUGUCUAAAUAAGUCUCUACCUUGAGAAAAUAUUUCAGAAAAAUUUUCAUAAUCAUCAGUGAAAUAACAAGUAAAGACAACAGUCUUGCCAAAGAAUUAAAUGCUGGCUGCAGAAGCUAUGUAAGUAUCCUAAUGAGUUGAAUGAGGAAAAAAUACCUCUUGGAAGUUAAAUAUUUUAUUUUAAUUAUUUAUUUAUUGAGUGGCAUCUUCAAGUAAAUUCAUGCACAACUCAUAAUGUAACAAGACUAGACGUUCAGAAAUUUUUGAAGUGAAUCAGUGUGGCUCACUGUUUUUUCUGUUGAUUGGAGCAGUUGUAGAGGUAAUAAGACUGAUUGCAAUAAGAAAGUCUUGACAUAAAAUAGCUGCUAAAAUGUGUUAAGGAAAAGUCUGCCAACUAGAAAGCUGAACCUGAGAGCUAGAAACCUUGAGGUACGACUGAACAUCUCUUAUGGAUGGUACCCUGAACAUACUACUCCAUUGUUAAGACCAAAUAGAGGAAGGGAGGAAUGUUUUAUCACCUAAGGAAGGGGAGAUCAGUGUGAGGAAUAAACUUUAGAUGAAAUAAGAAAUAUUAUCUAUAGACUGUAUCAGGAAGAGGACCUAAACUAACAGGACCAAUUUUUUACCUAAGCAGUGGUGUCCUACUAAAAUGACGAUUUUUGCACAAGAUGGAGCUUCCUUCUGAGAAACUUCCAGUGUUCUAUGUUCUGUUUCUUUGUCCUGGUUUCUUUUUUUUUUCCUUAAACAGGCUGAAGUUUCACUGAAACUUUGGUUUGACCAUGUGCCUUGACAGCAUUGACUCCAAAACUCUAACACUCCAUGCCUGGUGAUACUGAUCAGUGUUGAAUUGUAACAGAAAUGCUAAGUCAUGGUCUGAAACAGUGACUGAGUACCUGGUGGGAAAGCAGGACCAACCCAGAGGAACUCAGGUGCAUGCAAUGAACCUGAGUAACCAGAAGGAGUGCAUCCUGGCUCCACCCCUUCCCAGACCUCAUUUAAGGGUUGGAAGUGGAGGUGAGAGUGUUUUGCUGGAGAUCUUUCCCUAUCUGAGGCCUUCUGAAGGACCAGAAGAACAGAGGCAUUGGAAGCCAAGUCUGCACAACACAGAGUGGGACACAUGGAGAACCUUGCUAUACAGUACAUCUAGACUCUUUUCAGUAGUGCCCAGUACCAGGACAAGAAGUGAGCGAAAACUGGAACAUAGGAGUUUCCAUCUCAACUGUCAUCUAUGAUUCUGUGAUCUGGAAGAAAUUAUGAUACUUGCAGAAAUGGAAAAGCAGUAAGGCUUGGCACCAGACUCCAGUGAAAUGAACAGAUUCCAGGUGAACAUGAUGAGAACACAAUCUAACAAACAGCCAUGCUUUGGCUGCCUGCUCUGAUAACAGCAGCUGCUUGGAAAACUAAGCUGCUUCACAAUUGAAAGAGUGUUGAAAGAAAUCUUUUUCAAAAUCAAGAGUGGAGGAUUUAUCAGUCCAGACUCGGAGAAUAUAGUGCAUGUUGUCCAGCUGUCACAUCACAAAGCUGAGAAGAAGACAUGCAAAAUGAAGAUGUAGGCACAAAGGCUGAAGGCAGAUGGGACCUGUAGUGAACUGCUGUGCUUGUGUUUCUUUCUGUUACUAAAAGGAAUUUGUUACGCUAGUGAUUUUAAAUGAUUUGUGGCUGACAGUUUUAGGUUUAAUAAUAGUAAACCAGACAACAUCUGGCAUGGUGAAAUAAAAUUAUUUGAUAUGUAACUUAGCUCACACCCCCAACACACACACACAAAUGAAAAUUAAUGUGCAAAUAAGAAACUUUUUUUGAAGUACAUAUUGAGCCAUCAUUUUUAAUGGAUAACAGAAGAACAUGGGAUGAAGAUUUUUUCCUGAAGUUUUAUUACAUAAUUAAUCCAAAUUUCUUUGUGUAAUUUGGAAGCUUAUAAUGAGAACAGGUAUUAUUCCUCCCCAGAUAUUACCAUCUUUUAAAGAUUUUUUUUAAUAUUUGUGUUAGUAUUAUGGUUAUUUCUGCUUUAGUUCUUCUUCUGAUGCCUUCUUGAAUGGGCAGUGUCAAGGCCAUGUUCAACAAUGGCAAAUCACAAAAAAAUAUUUUUUUCAUAAAGUCAUAAAUUCCUCUUCAUGAACUGCAAAUGAGUCUGUACAUGAAAAUGUGGUGCUCAAAUUCAUUGAUAAUGAGAGUAUACCUCACUGGAGUUUUUACCAUAUUACCUAAAAUGAAUGCGUGCUUUAAGACGUGUGAUUGGCUGAAUGACUCUGUAUUUCUGUGUGGCUGUGUGCAUGAAUACACAUGCAUGUGUACAGUUAUUUUAACUGGGAAUGUAAAGGCUCUAGAGGUGAGUCCGAAAUAGCAUAGAAGUCUACUCUUAUUUUGAUUAAAUAAAAUAUUAUUGCUCACAAUAUCUGUGAAAGAUCUUAAAGGUUGCUUGAAGUCAUUUUUAAAUGUUGCGCAUAUUACUUAUUACACUCAACAAGCAUAGCUAAUUGGCAUAACUGAGUACAUGAAUAACAA